rnacentral:rRNA from 1 species
UACGUAGGGGGCAAGCGUUGUCCGGAAUCAUUGGGCGUAAAGAGCGUGUAGGCGGCCCGAUAAGUCCGCUGUGAAAGUCCAGGGCUCAACCCUGGAAUGCCAGUGGAAACUGUCGGGCUGGAGUCCGGAAGAGGCGAGUGGAAUUCCUGGUGUAGCGGUGAAAUGCGCAGAUAUCAGGAGGAACACCAAUGGCGAAGGCAGCUCGGUGGGACGGUACUGACGCUGAGACGCGAAAGCGUGGGUAGCGAAUGGG